GCGUCAAUUGUUCCAGCGUUUCCAAAAAGAAUUGCUUAAACGACAGCAUUAACCACGUCGAUGGAAACUGUCUGUUAGGUUGCGCAGAAGGAUUUCUUCCCCCGCAGUGUGAAACAGUUCUGGAUUACCAUGGCGCGGACGAGUACUUGUUUGAAAUAAGGCGUGGAGGGAAUUUGGAGGCGUGCGUCUCAGAUGAACCGACGCUAGCGUUUGUGCCAGAUAAUAUUGAAAACAAAUCAGAUUCCACGAGUGUGAAUAUCAAGGAUUUGAACGGAAACGCAAUUGUUAUCUCAGAAUUCGACUGCAAUUUGUUGCGGAAAAAUGGUUGCAAUUCAUGGGAACUGAAUGAUUUUGAGCUUUUCAAUACGGAUAACGAGUCAAACUCCUUCCCAAUUGUCACUGAUUACCGAUGGAGUGACCUGCCAGUCGCCUUCACAAACGGGAGUUUUAAGGAUAAAAUCAGUUUCUCGAAUCAUCACAAUUUCAGGAAACAUUUUUCGAUUUUGGCAAAGAACUCGGCACAAUUCCUCUUAACAGAUGACUCAACUUUAAAGAAAGGGAAUACCGUUGUCCUCGAUGGAUGGAGAGACUCACAUUCUUCUGUUUUGAGAAACUGCACCAACAUACCUGACUAUAUAAAAAAUUCGAAAAAUUUUCCUACUUGUACGAGCCC